GAAAGGCAUCUCCUUGGUGAUCCAAGGAGGCCAAAUAGGAACAGGUCCAGAGUGCAGUUCCCAAGAAGAACAAUGCAGAGGGUGAGUGCUUACUGCAUUUCCAAACAAGUUUUCACUGCCCACAGACCACGAGAUUCCCGGGCUGAAAAGCGCCAUGAGUUUUCAGCAUGGCUGGUGCCUAUUGUGCCAUGGGUAGGCGCACAGAAACUCACACAAAUCUGGGGGGCCUUUUCAACUGGCGCCUGGAAUGCCUGGGAGACAGAGCCACCCAUUCAACUGAAAGGGAGGGGGCUGAGACAGGGAACCAGAUGAUCUGGCUCGGCACGUAGCACCCCCACAAAACAAGCAAUCUGAAAUGCUCUGGAUUGAGAGUUUCCCAGCAAGUUCAGCUGGACCUUGGACAGUCCAGCUCAGUUGGGGGAAGGGCAUCCUCCACUACUGAGACAGUCCACCAAUACCGAGGCAGUUCACACAGCAGCUGGGCAGAGCCUGUGACAGCUCAACAACACCUCUGCUGGUAGACUGUGACUAGAUUACUCCGUGCUGGGCAGGGCAUCUCUGAAAAAAUGCAGCAGUAUGUCAGGAACUUAUAAAUAAAGCCCACCUUCCUAGGACAGAGCACCUGGGAAAAGAGGCGGUUAUGAGUUCCACUGGAGCAGAUUUAAACGUACCUGCACAGCAGCUCUUCACAGAACAGUGGAGCUCCCAGCACAGCAUUUGAGCUCCUAUAAAGCACAGACCGUCUUCUCAAGCAGCUCCCCAGCCCCUGUAUACCCAAAGAGACACCUCAUAAAGGAGAGCUCAGGCUG